rnacentral:lncRNA from 1 species
AUUAUAUAAAACUAAAUUAAAUUAAUAAACUAAAAAAUCUAACAAAAAAUUAAAAAUAAAACAAAUAAACGUGGGUGGGGGCGCCUCACCUUUCAUUUAGUAAACAACAAAACCCCAUUUACUUUGAAAAAUAAGAAGAAGAAAAAUAAGCCAUCCUAUCAUAUGGUGACAAGUGGCGGUGAAUUUAAAAAAAACAAAAUAAAAAAAAACUACUUAAAUUGAAUAAAGG